GCGUAUGGAAUUUUCUUUUUUAAGCAGCGGAAUUUCCAAAAUGUCCGUGUUAUAGAGGUGACUGUAUAUAAAAAGGCCACAUAAAUUUGAUUAAGUUGUCAUAUAUAGAAAAAGUACUAUUGUUUAUGCACAAAGGUACUGAAAUUUUAUAAUAGUAUAAGACUAAACUAAGAUAGUGUUUUUAUAAUGUUUAGUUCCUCUUUCGUCUUCUUCGGUGGCGUCUGUCUUGUUCUGUCGUUUGGGCUUCAGCUUUGAACUUCCUUGCUUAUUCUGCUUCCAUUCUGUAUCCACGCGAGCUCUGCAUUUAAUAUACUCUGCGUGACUAAAUUUGGGCUACUGACUAUAAGGUUGAGCUGCAAUCCUGGAAAAAAAUUAGUAGACUUCUAAAAUAUUCAAACUUUGUCCCCCU